rnacentral:rRNA from 1 species
GAUGAACGCUGGCGGCGUGCCUAACACAUGCAAGUCGAACGAGAACGGAAUAUAGCUUGCUAUAUUUGUCAGCUAAGUGGCGCACGGGUGAGUAAUGUAUAGAUAACCUGCCCUUAAGAAAGGAAUAACAGUUGGAAACGACUGCUAAUGCCCUAUAUGCCUUUAAUACAUAAGUAUGCAAGGGAAGCGCUUUAGUGCUUAAGGAUGGGUCUGUAUGGUAUCAGCUUGUUGGUGAGGUAAUGGCUCACCAAGGCUAUGACGCCUAACUGGUUUGAGAGGAUGAUCAGUCACACUGGAACUGAGACACGGUCCAGACUCCUACGGGAGGCAGCAGUGGGGAAUAUUGCACAAUGGACGAAGGUCUGAUGCAGCAACGCCGCGUGGAGGAUGACACAUUUCGGUGCGUAAACUCCUUUUAUAUAGGAAGAUAAUGACGGUACUAUAUGAAUAAGCACCGGCUAACUCCGUGCCAGCAGCCGCCGUAA